rnacentral:rRNA from 1 species
AGAGUUUGAUCCUGGCUCAGNNUGAACGCUGCGGCGUGCUAUACAUGCAAGUCGAGCGGAAGGCCUCUUCGGAGGUACACGAGCGGGGACGGCUGAGUAACACGANNAACGUACCCCGAAGUGAGGAAUAACUGCCCGAAAGGNNGGCUAAUGCCGCAUAUGCUCUACGGAGAAAGCUUCGGCGCUUCGGGAACGGCCUGCGUCCGAUUAGCUUGUUGGUAAGGUAAUGGCUUACCAAGGCGACGAUCGGAGCUGGCUGAGAGGAUGAUCAGCCAGACUGGGACUGAGACACGGCCCAGACUCCUACGGGAGGCAGCAGUAGGGAAUUUUCCACAAUGGGGGCAACCCUGAUGGAGCAACGCCGCGUGCAGGAUGAAUGCCUUCGGGUUGUAAACUGCUUUUCUCUGUGACGAUUAUGACGGUAGCAGAGGAAUAAGGAUCGGCUAACUCCGUGCCAGCAGCCGCGGUCAUACGGAGGAUCCAAGCGUUAUCCGGAAUUACUGGGCGUAAAGAGUUGCGUAGGUGGCAUAGUAAGUUAGUAGUGAAAGCGUGUGGCUCAACCAUACUCACAUUACUAAAACUGCUAAGCUUGAGGACGAGAGAGGUACCUGGAAUUCCCAGUGUAGGAGUGAAAUCCGUAGAUAUUGGGAGGAACACCGAUGGCGUAGGCAGGGUACUGGCUCGUUCCUGACACUCAGGCACGAAAGCGUGGGGAGCAAACGGGAUUAGAUACCCCGGUAGUCC